CACUAAUCUGUGUUUCUCGAAACUUCUUCAUCGUCUGCUUAUUGGGCAAAUAAAAAGUGAAAAAAGUUUAUAUUCGCGAGUGAAUUCGUUGGCCCUAUUUUGUGUAUGUGCACUUCCAUUCUGGCGCUAUAAAAUGUUAUAAAAAGGAAUGAAAAAGUAAUAUUUUGAGGAUAAUGUACGGGGCAUACUUUUAUGGAACCCAGAACAAUUGCCCGACAUUUUCUGUCAACCCUCGUGACAAAAAGGAAAAAAAAAACAAGACAGAGAUGCAAAAAGAAUUUGACGAGUGCUCGUGCUCGGCUCAGACAUGUCUGAUGACCCCAGAUCGAUGCUUUUGAAAAAGCCAACCCAUAUCCAAUGUAAAGAUCUUGAAAUACAUAUGUAUAU